rnacentral:lncRNA from 1 species
UUAUUUUAAAUUUAAAUUUUGAAGUAAACCAUUAUUGUGUUUGAUUUUAAAUUUUGUAUGCUUUGAAAUCUUGAUGUUUUUUAUGAGAUGCUUUGACUAUAUUAUUUGUAAUUUUAGGGAUGCUUCGAGUCUUUGACUAUUGUUUUUGUACUCGAGUUGCAUAUCUCACAAACUUUUUGUGUUUUGUAAUUUUAGGUGAAGAGCUUCUUUCAGACUCCUUCCCCUACAAGGAACUAUUGAAUGGGUUCCUAUGAGAAGUUGAAGAAAAGUUAUGGAUAAUGAAAACAAU